rnacentral:rRNA from 1 species
GUGGGGAAUUUUGGACAAUGGGCGCAAGCCUGAUCCAGCCAUGCCGCGUGCAGGAUGAAGGCCUUCGGGUUGUAAACUGCUUUUGUACGGAACGAAAAGACUUCUUCUAAUACAGGAGGUCCAUGACGGUACCGUAAGAAUAAGCACCGGCUAACUACGUGCCAGCAGCCGCGGUAAUACGUAGGGUGCAAGCGUUAAUCGGAAUUACUGGGCGUAAAGCGUGCGCAGGCGGUUAUAUAAGACAGAUGUGAAAUCCCCGGGCUCAACCUGGGAACUGCAUUUGUGACUGUAUAGCUAGAGUACGGUAGAGGGGGAUGGAAUUCCGCGUGUAGCAGUGAAAUGCGUAGAUAUGCGGAGGAACACCGAUGGCGAAGGCAAUCCCCUGGACCUGUACUGACGCUCAUGCACGAAAGCGUGGGGAGCAAACAGGAUUAGAAACCCUGGUAGUCC